rnacentral:rRNA from 1 species
GAUGAACGCUGGCGGCGUGCCUAAUACAUGCAAGUCGAGCGAACAGACGAGGAGCUUGCUCCUCUGACGUUAGCGGCGGACGGGUGAGUAACACGUGGAUAACCUACCUAUAAGACUGGGAUAACUUCGGGAAACCGGAGCUAAUACCGGAUAAUAUAUUGAACCGCAUGGUUCAAUAGUGAAAGACGGUUUUGCUGUCACUUAUUGAUGGAUCCGCGCUGCAUUAGCUAGUUGGUGAGGUAACGGCUUACCAAGGCAACGAUGCGUAGCCGACCUGAGAGGGUGAUCGGCCACACUGGAACUGAGACACGGUCCAGACUCCUACGGGAGGCAGCAGUAGGGAAUCUUCCGCAAUGGGCGAAAGCCUGACGGAGCAACGCCGCGUGAGUGAUGAAGGUCUUCGGAUCGUAAAACUCUGUUAUUAGGGAAGAACAAAUGUGUGAGUAACUAUGCACGUCUUGACGGUACCUAAUCAGAAAGCCACGGCUAACUACGUG